rnacentral:rRNA from 1 species
ACAGCAGCCGCCGCGGUAAUACGAAGGGGGCUAGCGUUGUUCGGAAUUACUGGGCGUAAAGGGCGCGUAGGCGGCCAUUCAAGUUAGAUGUGAAAGCCCUGGGCUCAACCUAGGAAUUGCAUUUGAUACUGUUUGGCUUGAGUUCGGGAGAGGUGAGUGGAAUUCCCAGUGUAGAGGUGAAAUUCGUAGAUAUUGGGAAGAACACCAGUGGCGAAGGCGGCUCACUGGACCGACACUGACGCUGAGGCGCGAAAGCGUGGGGAGCAAACAGGAUUAGAGACCCCCGUAGUCCCUGUCUCUUAUAC